rnacentral:rRNA from 1 species
UACGGAGGGUGCAAGCGUUAUCCGGAUUUACUGGGUUUAAAGGGUGCGUAGGCGGGCCAUUAAGUCAGUGGUGAAAGCUCCGAGCUUAACUCGGAAACUGCCAUUGAUACUGGAUGGCUUGAGUUCGGGAGAGGGAUGUGGAAUUCCAGGUGUAGCGGUGAAAUGCGUAGAUAUCUGGAGGAACACCGGUGGCGAAGGCGGCAUCCUGGACCGACACUGACGCUGAGGCGCGAAAGCGUGGGGAGCAAACGGG